UACAGAGGGUGCAAGCGUUGUUCGGAAUCAUUGGGCGUAAAGGGCGUGUAGGCGGUCUGUUAAGUCAUGUGUGAAAUCCCUCGGCUCAACCGGGGAACGACGCAUGAAACUGACAAGCUAGAGUACCAAAGAGGGGGGUGGAAUUCCUGGUGUAGCGGUGAAAUGCGUAGAUAUCUGGAGGAACACCGGUGGCGAAGGCGACGCCUGGACCGGCAUUGACGUUGAGGCGCGAAAGCCAGGGAGCAACGGG
rnacentral:rRNA from 1 species